rnacentral:lncRNA from 1 species
GAUUACAUGUGAUUUCAUAAGUUAUAACCACAACCACGCAUAAAUAAAGAGUAAAUGAAACUUUCAUCCAUGUUUAUAACUCUCUUUAACAGUCAUGCAAUUACAAACCGAAUCCUCAUCAUUGUGUUGGAAGGUACCCUAAGACACAAAUAAAGCGCACAAAAACAACUCUUUUUUGGAUUUUCAAAAACAAUUUUUCAAAUUUUUAUGAAUUUUUGGAUUUUUAUGUCAAAACACACUGAAACAUUCUAAAACAGCUUAAAAAUACUUAAAACAAUAAGGAACAACACUAGAAGUAAUGGGUGAUAAAUUUCUACGAAUUUCAUGCAAAACAAUGGUUACCCCCCCCCCACACUUAAAUCAAACAUUGUCCUCAAUGUUUCAAGCAUAUACUCACACCAAAAACAAGCAAAUAACAAACGACAAAUAAACAUGACAAAUAUGGCAAAGUAAAAACCAGACAGAGUAGAGUUUAAGAACGUAAAUCUGGUUUUGGAGAUAGUUGAUCUUGUUGACUUUCCACAGCUUUGAUCUUGAACUGGAUUGGAAUUGUACAGCGAAGCUUUGCUCUUUGGUGAUGUUGCAGUUCCUUAUUUGUUCUCCAAGCAGAUGUGGCAGCUUCUUUAGUUCUUCAUCUCAGACUCCUUGUGCUGGGUUGAUUGUGCAAGCUGCAUUCUUCUCUGCUUGUUUCUUCUGCACGACGGGCGGGCACGAGGUAAAGGUGUUAGUCUGUUUCUUUCUUCAAUUUCCAAGUGCCCACCUCUUGCUUUCUUUCUCCUUGUCCCUAGUUGAGGAUGAAUCAGCACGUUGUCUCCACAUGCUUCGAGGUAUCAUCUUCACUUCCCUUAUACGUGAGAGACGAAGCGGAAGCACAAGAUGAUGAGUACUCGAGAACAGGUGCUGGCUGGAGAAAGGACAGGGAGAAAGCAUGAUAUGAGAUACUCGUGCUCUCAACCUUUAUGAUAUGAAAUACUUGUGCUCUGGAUGGGUUGUUUGCAAGGGUAUCCCAGGGGAUGAAAAAUACAGAGUGACUCGAGAGGGUUUGUUGGAAAGCCAUUUCAGAGAGGAUGAAUGGUUAAGUGAGGCUGAAAGUUGGGUGAGACUGCUUCACUUUGAAGUUCAGCAUUUAUAGAAUUUUCUUAAUG